rnacentral:rRNA from 1 species
UACAGAGGGGGCAAGCGUUGUUCGGAAUUACUGGGCGUAAAGGGCGCGUAGGCGGCCUGUUAAGUCGAACGUGAAAUCCCCGGGCUCAACCCGGGAACUGCGUCCGAUACUGGCAGGCUUGAAUUCGGGAGAGGGAUGCGGAAUUCCAGGUGUAGCGGUGAAAUGCGUAGAUAUCUGGAGGAACACCGGAGGCGAAGGCGGCAUCCUGGACCGAGAUUGACGCUGAGGCGCGAAAGCCAGGGGAGCAAACGGG